CAGCAGUGGGGAAUAUUGGGCAAUGGGCGCAAGCCUGACCCAGCAACGCCGCGUGAGGGAAGAAGGUUUUCGGAUUGUAAACCUCUGUCCUUGGGGACGAAAAAAAUGACGGUACCCAAGGAAGAAGCUCCGGCUAACUACGUG
rnacentral:rRNA from 1 species